rnacentral:rRNA from 1 species
GACGAACGCUGGCGGCGUGCUUAACACAUGCAAGUCGAACGAUGAAGCUGGAGCUUGCUCCGGUGGAUUAGUGGCGAACGGGUGAGUAACACGUGAGCAAUCUGCCCUUCACCCUGGGAUAACUGCGGGAAACUGUAGCUAAUACCGGAUACGAGACCUUGGGGCAUCCCAGGGUCUGGAAAGAAUUUCGGUGAAGGAUGAGCUCGCGGCCUAUCAGCUAGUUGGUGAGGUAAUGGCUCACCAAGGCGACGACGGGUAGCAGGCCUGAGAGGGUGACCGGCCACACUGGGACUGAGACACGGCCCAGACUCCUACGGGAGGCAGCAGUGGGGAAUAUUGCACAAUGGGCGAAAGCCUGAUGCAGCAACGCCGCGUGAGGGAUGAAGGCCUUCGGGUUGUAAACCUCUUUUAGUAGGGAAGAAGCGCAGGUGACGGUACCUACAGAAAAAGCACCGGCUAACUACGUGCCAGCCGCCGCCGUAA